rnacentral:rRNA from 1 species
UACAGAGGUCUCAAGCGUUGUUCGGAUUCAUUGGGCGUAAAGGGUGCGCAGGCGGCACGGUAAGUCGGGUGUGAAAUCUCGGAGCUUAACUCCGAAACUGCAUUCGAUACUGCCGUGCUUGAGGACUGGAGGGGAGACUGGAAUUUACGGUGUAGCGGUGAAAUGCGUAGAUAUCGUAAGGAAGACCAGUGGCGAAGGCGGGUCUCUGGACAGUUCCUGACGCUGAGGCACGAAGGUCAGGGGAGCAAACGGG